GGCGCUAUAGUGUAGUGGUUAUCACUUGGGAUUCUGACAGACGCCCUUCUAUGACUGACUUGUUCCCAAAACCCAGGUUCGAGCCCUGGUAGCGCCU